ensembl:lncRNA
UUAUAUAUUUUAUACAUAUUGUACAUGUAUUUUUUUUUUUUCAAAAUGCUUAGAUGAUGAUUUAUCGAGUGACAACGACAAUGAUGAUGAUGAUGAUGAUAUAUUCGACUCUAAAAAGGAUGAUAAAUUUCCAGAUAAAUCAAAGAAAGGCUUAGAAGAAGGUAAAAACAAAACCUAAAUAUAUAUAUAUAUAUAUAUAUAUAUAUAUAUAUAUAUCUAUGAGCAUGUACAUUUAUAAAAAUUUACGUGUGUUAUAAUAUGCAAAUAUCAUAAAAUUAAACCAUUUCAAAUUAAUUUUAUCAAUCAUUAUUUUUUAUUUCAUUAUCAUUUUUUAUUUUUUAUUUUUUAUUUAUUAUUAUUAUUAUUAUUAUUAUUAUUAUUUUUAUUAUUAUUAUUAUUAUUAUUAUUAUUUUAUUUAUUUUUUUUUUUUUUUUUUUGGAUCUAUUUAUAAAGAUGAUAAUAAAGAUAAAAACAAGAAAUUUGAAAAAAAAGUAAAAUUUGACAGUUCUGAAAAAUCUUUAAAUGAAGAAAAAAAAAAGAAGAUAGACAACAUGAAGGAGUAUGAUUUUAGUAAGCAAGAAGAAGCAGAAAGGGAAGAAACAAAAACUCCAAAAGAGGACAUUGAUUAUGAUUACAAUAUGGAAACUGAUCCUGAAAUUUAUGAGCAGGAUAAAAUGGUCGUUUUUCCAGGAUUACAUUACAUAGGUAUAGGUUAUGAUCUCCUCUUUGGUAAUCCGUUGGGAGAAUUGAAUUCAUUGACAGAUCCUGGUUAUCGAGCUCAGAUAUAUUUGCUAAAUUGGGAGCUUAGUGAAAGGGGUAUUUCAAACGAUUUAAAACAUUUGCAACCGAUAAACGGGUGGAUAAGAAAAGAAAACGCUUGUAGCCGGGCAGAAUCGAUAAAUGAAUGCUCUAGUAUAUCAAAUUAUUCAAAAAAUUUAUCAGCGGACGUGUCUGUAUCAGGUAAUUAUGCGGUAUUCGCUUCUUUUUCAGCUUCAUCUGGUUUUAAAAAUUUUCUUGAGGAACAAAAAAAGAGAACAUCGAAAACAUAUUUAGUAAAAUCUAAAUGUGUUAAAUACACGAUAGGACUACCGAAAUAUGCCCCUUGGGAAAAAACUUUUGCAUUUUCUAAUGCGAUAAAAGGUCUACCAGUUAAGUUUACAGGAUUAGAAAAAGAUAGUGAGUGUACAUCAGAUGUUUAUGAACAAAAACAACAGGAGAAAGAAUGUGUAAAUGUGCGUACUUGGAUGGAAUUUUUUCGAGACUAUGGUACACACAUUAUUGUCGAAGCUCAAUUAGGUGGUAAAAUUACAAAAGUAAUAAAAGUGUCCAAGUCAUCUAUAGAUAAAAUAAAAAAAAAUGGACUACAUGUUAAAGCAGAAAUACAGGCACAGUUUGGGUUUGGUAGUGCAGGGGGUGGUACAAAUGUACAAGAUCAUACAUCAUCAAACAGUGAUGAAGAAUCGUAUGAUAUGAGUGAACAAUUAAUUGUAAUAGGUGGGAAUCCCAUUAAAGAUGUUACAAAAGAAGAAAAUUUAUUUGAAUGGUCAAAAUCAGUGGCAUUAAACCCAAUGCCUGUCAGUAUAAAAUUAAUACCUAUGUCUGAUGUUUUUCAUUCAAAUGAAUUAAAAGAUUCAUAUAAAGAUGCUUACACAUACUACACUAGAUUAUAUGGAAAUUCUCCUCAUGACACUAUGCAAAAGGAUGAUAAAAAUAUUAACAAAAUACUGAACUUAUCAACAACGGUAACAAAUAUGGGAGCUCCACCUUUAAGCACAGAAUGUCCUACUGGUCAAGUUGUUUUAUUUGGUUUUACUAUUAAACAAAACUAUUGGGACAAUACUCACAAUCUUAAAGAGUAUCAUAUUGAAAUAUGUGAAGCUGGUUUAAAUAAUUGUGUAUCGAAACAAGGAGCUACUAAUACCUACGAUGUUGCAUUCUCAUAUAUAGAAUGUGGGGAACAACCUUUGCCAUUUUUAGAACAAGUAGUUACUGAUAGUUCAGAAAUAUAUAAUGUUGGGAAAUGUACCAAUGAUUAUUCAAUUUUGUUUGGAUUUGGUUUUUCCGCAUCAUCAGGACACCGUGAUUCGGCUUUGCAUACACACGUUGUCAGUUGUAGACCAGGUUAAUACAAACAUAUUUUUUUAUGUACAUAUAUAUAUUCACUUACUUAUCAGUGUAAUAUGACUAUACAUGCAUACACAUAAUACACUAUAUUAUAUUUUUUAUUUUUUAUUUUUUAUUUUUUUAUUUUUUAUUUUUUAUUNNNNNNNNNNUUUAUUUUUUAUUUUUUUAUUUUUUAUUUUUUAUUUUUUAUUUUUUUUCACAGGAUUAAAGAGCUGUUCAUUUAAUAUGAAAAAUGUAGAUGUUAAGAGUUAUAUAUAUAUGGCAUGUGUAGAUGCAACAGUAUGGACUGGUUUAAAUAAUUUAUCUAUAGUAGCUAAAGACGAUAGUCACGCACCAGUUAAUAGGCAUAAACCAUUCAAUGACGGAACGGUGAUCGUUAAUUGUCCAGAAAAGGGCACAAUAUUGGGUGGGUUUUAUGGUGAGAGUAAUACAUCUAGUCCUCGUGUUGAAGCGACAUUUGGAAAAUGUAUAAAAGGUGAGGUAAGUUGUUCGGGUAAUGGGUCUGGUCAUGCCAUGGGAGGAUUAUACAAUUACAAAUCAUUAUUUGCCGUUGCAUUAUGUACAAAUAAUACAUAAGUAGUAUGGUAAAGCACUAUUGUUAUUACACACACAUAUAAAUAUAUAUAUAUAUCAAUGUUUGUCAUGUGAAAAAUUUAUAAAUAAGGGGGAAAAUAAAUAAAAAAAGGAAUAAAUUAAAAUAUUGACU